UCUUCAGAUCUUGAAUAAUUCAAUAAUGUCAGUUGCACAACGCAGCACAAACUCAGCACAAAGUGUUGAUAUAUCAUGCAAAGACCCCAGCGAAUUACUGCUUCACAACAUCAUCUGGUGACACUGAAAACCUUUAGGUGGAGACAUUCACUUAUUCCUCUAACUUGAGAAUAGAUACAACAUACAACAUAACAUUCAACAACAGAAUACAAAGAGCAAAGAACAAUCAGAAAUGGUAAGUAAUAAGUAAUACACAGAAUAGAGUAAAUAUUACUGUAUAUACAUGAGAAAAACAUGGAAAUAACAAAUCAAGAAUAACAGAUGUAUGU